AUGGCUGGCUACCACGUACACUUCAGAGCCACUUGGGCCCAGCUAGCGGUAUUAAUUACGGGUUCUAAUUUUAUUGCAGCUCGGCUCCUCCAGGUUUGUCCCCACCACAACGGUCUUAAAAAGAAACACCCGCAGGCACACACCACAAGGAAUCCUCAAGAAAGACAAAGUGUCUGGUUUUCCCGCCCCAAAGCAGGGACCGGUCACCGACCCUUGGCCCUGAGUAGCCCCUUGGGGAUUCCAAGAGGCCAUCAGCUUUGCAGUGCUUGGAAGAUGAACUUUGAGUGGAUCAUGAGUCGGCCUUGGAGAGUGGUAGAGAAAGGUAUGGGGAUUUGGAGCCCAGCUGAGAGUUGAGGAUGGAGGAGGAAUUGGAAGAAGAAACGAAAAAUUUCGGGCUAUCAAAGUUCCGUGGAUUUUCAAAGGCCUUUCCCAGCCUUUGCAAAAAUUACUGCGGGAGCGCGAUCAAAUCUGACACCUGUAGGUGGCGCUAUGACGAGGUGACUCGGCUGGGAGAAGGUAGUCAGGGGCUCCAGGACCGCCGCAAAUUCUCCGUGGCUCCGACCCUGACUCUUCUCAGCCCCUGCUUCCUAUUUUCGGAGGGAUGGUGAUGACAGUGCGGCAAGACUAUCUGCAUUUCACGGUCAGCGCAGGGCUACUUGGUAGUGGAAUUCGGCCAGCGAAAGGGACAGGUUGGAAAUGCCGCGCCUCAACCGCACGGAGCUGGGCAGCUCCACCACUCUCUGUGCGUUGCCCGGGUGCGAGGACUCCGCGAGAGGGAGCCGCAAAGUGAGCCAGCCUGUUCUCUGCAUCACUGAAAAUGGGAGGAACGCUGGCGCUUAGCUCCAAGACUGGCCCCCAGGUUGAUUCGGCUCCUUGAAGCCUGGAGGCAACCCCAACCUCACACACACACACACACACACACACACACACACACACACACACACACACACACAAGCUGCAUUUAACAGAGCCCGGACUGAGGAUCCUGAAGAGUUUUGCAUGUGCUUGAGAGUCGAAACCAAGGCUUAGAGGUGCGGCCUGGUUCGCAUUUAUCUUUUCCAGACAGCCUUUGGGCCAAUCGGGUCUUCGGAAGGGAGGCAGCCCGACUGCCCUCACAGGGACCCUGAGGGCAGAGUCUUUAAGAACACUGAAAACCUGCUUUUUCAACCACACGCAGCUGCAACGUUUUUGAGCUGCUUCAGCUCAAGGCUGUAUGUAGAGUGAUCGCGGAUGCUGUCCUCUCAUCAUGGAGCGGUGUGGCUUCCAAAGAUGCUUAGACCCAGACAGGGCGAAGUGCCUCCUCCCUCUGACUGGAGGCUCAGGCUGGCCUCCCAGAAGGGAUCUUCCCUGCCCCUGCCCCGGCCCCGGCCCCGGCCCCCAACCGGGAUCCAUCCUUGAUCGCACUUGCCGGACCGCAGCCACAGGUUUUGCCCUUUGCAUAAAAAUGUGUUCUCUUUCAUUUGAGGAUUUAAUAAACAAAUGUAACUAUAUCA
rnacentral:lncRNA from 12 species